rnacentral:rRNA from 1 species
AAUAUUGGACAAUGGGGGCAACCCUGAUCCAGCCUUGCCUCUUUUGUUCAUAAUGUCUUCUGAUUGAAAAGCACUUCAAGGUGGGAGGAAGGGCUUUAGGUUAAUACCCUGAAGUUUUGACGUUACCAACAGAUUAAGCACCGGCUAACUCUGUGUCAGCAGCCGCGGUAAUACAGAGAGUGCAAGCGUUAAUCGGAAUUACUGGGCGUAAAGCGCGCGUAGGUGGUUCAGUAAGAUGGGUGUGAAAUCCCCGGGCUUAACCUGGGAACUGCUUUCAUAACUGCUGAGCUAGAGUACGGUAGAGGGUAGUGGAAUUUCCUGUGUAGCGGUGAAAUGCGUAGAUAUAGGAAGGAACACCAGUGGCGAAGGCGACUACCUGGACUGAUACUGACACUGAGGUACGAAAGCGUGGGUAGCGAACA